rnacentral:rRNA from 1 species
AACUAACGCUGGCGGCGUGCCUAACACAUGCAAGUCGUACGAGAAAGCCGGCUUCGGCUGGUGAGUAAAGUGGCGCACGGGUGAGUAACGCGUGGAUAAUCUGCCCUUAAGUGUGGAAUAACGUACCGAAAGGUGCGCUAAUACCGCAUAAUGCCUGGCAACACAAGUUGUCCGGCCAAAGAAGGCCUCUGUUUACAAGCUUUCGCUUCAGGAUGAGUCCGCGUACCAUUAGCUUGUUGGUGGGGUAAUGGCCUACCAAGGCUGCGAUGGUUAGCUGGUCUGAGAGGAUGAUCAGCCACACUGGAACUGAGACACGGUCCAGACUCCUACGGGAGGCAGCAGUGAGGAAUAUUGCGCAAUGGGGGCAACCCUGACGCAGCAACGCCGCGUGAGUGAGGAAGGUUUUCGGACUGCAAAGCUCUGUCGAGCGGGAAGAAGUGUACCAUGGCUAAUAUCCAUGAUAUUUGACGGUACCGCUAGAGG